GAAGUAUUUCAUCCAGUCGCCGCCGCAAUGCUGGGGCGGAGGAAAGUCCGGGCUCCAAAGGGCAGGGUGCAGGAGAAAUUCCUGUGGGUGCGAAUCCAAGGAAAGUGCCACAGAAAAAAUACCGCCGGCUCCGCCGGCAAGGGUGAAAAGGCGAGGUAAGAGCUCACCGGAUGCGCGGCGACGCGCAUGCCUGGCAAACCCCACCCGGAGCAAGAUCGAAUAGGGGAGGUCGAGGCGGCCCGCUGACUCCCGGGUACGAUCGCUUAUGGAUCGCCGCAAGGCGGUUCUCAGAUAAAUGACUGGACACGACAGAACCCGGCUUACGAAAUGCUUCCCAU
rnacentral:RNase_P_RNA from 1 species